rnacentral:rRNA from 1 species
GACGAACCGUGCGAACGUUGUUCGGAAUCACUGGGCUUAAAGGGCGCGUAGGCGGCUCACCAAGUCGGGGGUGAAAUACUUCAGCUUAACUGGAGAAGUGCCUUCGAUACUGGUGGGCUUGAGGGAGGUAGGGGUCUGUGGAACUUCUGGUGGAGCGGUGAAAUGCGUAGAGAUCGGGAGGAACACCAGUGGCGAAGGCGGUCUCCUGGAGCUAACUUGACGCUGAGAGACGAAAGCUAGGGGAGCGAAUGGG